CCUACGGGAGGCAGCAGUGGGGAAUAUUGCACAAUGGGGGAAACCCUGAUGCAGCGACGCCGCGUGCGUGAAGAAGUAAUUCGUUAUGUAAAGCUCUAUCAGCAGGGAAGAAAAUGACGGUACCUGAGUACGAAGCCCCGGCUAACUACGUGCCAGCAGCCGCGGUAAUACGGAGGGGGCAAGCGUUCUCCGGAUUUACUGGGGGUAACGGGAGCGUAGACGGCAGUGCAAGUCUGGAGUGAAAGGCGGGGGCUCAACCCCCGGACCGCUCUGGAAACUGUACGGCUGGAGUGCAGGAGAGGUAAGUGGAAUUCCAAGUGUAGCGGUGAAAUGCGUAGAGAUUAGGAGGAACACCAGUGGCGAAGGCGGCUUACUGGACUGUAACUGACGUUGAGGCUCGAAAGCGUGGGGAGCAAACAGGAUUAGAUACCCCUGUAGUC
rnacentral:rRNA from 1 species